UCAGUGUGAUGAUUUUUCUCUUCAUUGGUCCGUGUUUUUGAUCAAGCUGUGAUAAUAUUGAAGAUCUGACGAG